ensembl:lncRNA
UUUUUUCUUUUUUUCGAGACAGAGUUUCACUCUGUCGCCCAGGGUGGAGUGCAGUGACGCCAUCUCGGCUCACUAUAACCUCUGCCUCCUGGGUUCAAAUGAUUCUCCUGUUUCAACCUCCCAAGUACCUGGGACUACAGGCAUGCCACCACACCCAGCUAGUUUUUGUAUUCUUAGUAAAGAUGGGGUUUCACCAUAUUGGUCAGGCUGGUCUCAAACUCCUGACCUCAUGAUCCUCCCGCCUCAGCCUCCCAAAGUGGUGGGAUUACAGGCGUGAGUCACUGCACCUGGCCUACUUUACCGGUUUUGUUCCUGAAUGAAUCCUGUCAUUACUAUCAAUAAUGUCAAUCAGUGCCAUUUCAUUCACCGUGUGACACACACACAAAGCACUUCAUACUCGCUCCACCUAUCUGCUUUUCUGCAAUGGCCGCAGUGUUCCCCAUCUUACACGAGAGGCACAGAGAAAGACAAUGACUUCUCCAAGGUUUUGUAAUUCACAAUCAGUGGCAGAACCAACAUAUCCAACCCGGUCUGGCCAAGGCCUGUGUUUCAGCCACACCACUUGGUUGCUGCCCCUAAGGCUCAAUGGGCAAGUGACAGAUCACUCCGAUUGCAGAGGCUGCAGAAAUGCCUUCCGCCAUAGUACAAUGGACGGUUCGCUCUCAGGAGGGGAGGCAGGGGUGGGAAUCAGCACACGGUUCUGCUCGGUUUCUCAUGCAGGGCACAGACUAUGUAUUUUGUGCCUUGCUUUGGAGGUGAAAUGUCUCCUGCCCCCUGUACCACAGCUUUCUUUGGCCUCUCCACAUAAAAGUACAACUGAGUUCCUCAGGGGCAGGCAGUGAUCACUGCCCUGUGCCACACCUGACUGCUGUCCCAAUAGGUGGACACACAGGCUCUUCUCUUAUGGCCCAGGCUGCCCCCAUCUGCUAAGCAUUGAAAACUACACACAGGAUUUGCAGAACAUUAAUGACAUGGAGGUGACUGCUUCAUCUCUGUUGAAAACUUACUGCAGUGUUGUAAAGAAGAGAAUUCAGGAAAAGCUGAACAUUUGAGGCUGGCUGGCUGUAAUCUUCAGCUGCUGAGAAAGCCUCAGCUGCUCGGUUCCACUGUGGAAAUGCAACUCCUCCCUCAAAGUCCAACUCAAGUACACCUCCUCUGCGGUGCCUGCCCCUUCCUCCCUUUCACAAGCACGUGCUCCCUCUGCAGUCCCAGAGCAUUCUAUCGCCACCUCUGGAGCCACACUGUCCCAGCCGACAGCCAGCUCAGUGCACAGCUGCCUCUCCCUGUGUGUACCUGCAGGCCCCACCUGGGCUGGAAGGCUGCCUCCUUCUCCUCCGCACAGAGGAGACACUCAGGACCUACUGAAUGAGGGAGGGAGUGGAUGAGCAAGAUCAGCCAAGGGCCACAGGGAAUGGCCUGCAGCUCCCAGCAGGAACAGCCAAUGCCCUGCCAAUCAGGAGGUGCUGGCUCUGUUCUCAGCAGGGCUGCUAAAAGCUCCCUUAUAACAGCUCUAGGCCACAACGACCAACUUGGUGUCAGGCCCUAAAGACACCAAAAAUCCUAACAAAUAAAGAGGCGGCUAUGCAGCAUGCUGGUUAGAAGCACAGGCUUCGGAGUCAGAGCUUGAAUUCCACUUAUUAGGUGACCCUGAGCAAGUUACUCAAGGCAUCAAUCUCAUUUUGUCACCAGCAAAAUGAGGACAUUAUCCGCCACACAGUGUUGCUGAAAAAGUAAGAGAGGUGACAGACGCAAAGUGCUUGGCACUUACUUACUCUUACUGGUUUAUUACAAAGAAGAGAACACAGGAACAGCCAAAUGCAAGAGAUGCACAGGGCACACCACAGGGCAGAGAGGUCGGGGCUCCCAUGCCGUCCCUGGAAGUGCCACCUCCCCAGCACCAAAUGAGUUCACCAAACCAGAAGCUCUCCAAACCCAGUAUUUAGAGGGUUUUAUGGAGUUUUCAUAACAUAGACAUGAUGAAGUCCUUGGCCAACCGUGACUAGCUCAAUCUCCAGCCUGUCUCAUCUCCCCUCCCAGAGGUAGGGGUGGGGCUGGUAUGUCCAACUCUUUACUCAUGACUCAUCUUUCUGGCAACCAGCCC